rnacentral:rRNA from 1 species
GACGAACGCUGGCGGCGUGCUUAACACAUGCAAGUUGAACGGAAAGGCCCGGUUCUUGUGGGGUCCGCAUGAGGCGAACGGGUGAGUAACACGCGUGUAGCCUGCCCCUGACUUCGGGAUAAAUCCUGGAAACAGGGGCGCUUAUCGGAUAUGAGAUCCUUCUGCACGGUGGGGGAUGGUAAAAUUCGGCGGUUGGGGAUGGAAUCGUGGCCCAUCAGCUUGUUGGUGGGGUAGUGGCUUACCAAGGCUCUGACGGGUAGCCGGACUGCGAGUGUGACCGGCCACAUUGGGACUGAGAUGCGGCCCAGACUGCUACGGGAGGCAGCAGUGGGGAAUAGUGCAAGAUGGGCGGAAGCCUGAUGCAGCAACGCCGCGUGCGAGAUCACGGCCUUCGGGUUGUAACCCGGUUUCGCCUGUGAAGAAGCGUGAGUGACGGUAAUGGGUAAAGAAGCACCGGCUAACUACGUG